UACGGGGGGAGCAAGCGUUGUUCGGAUUUACUGGGCGUAAAGGGCGCGUAGGCGGUCGUGACAAGUCACUUGUGAAAUCUCCGGGCUUAACUCGGAACGGUCAAGUGAUACUGUCGGACUAGAGUACAGAAGGGGCAACUGGAAUUCUCGGUGUAGCGGUGAAAUGCGUAGAUAUCGAGAGGAACACCUGCGGCGAAGGCGGCUUUCUGGGACGGUACUGACGCUGAGACGCGAAAGCGUGGGGAGCGAACAGG
rnacentral:rRNA from 1 species